GAGCGUGCACUAUGCUUAGAAGUUACUGAUCAGUAUACAUGGUGAACAGUAAAAACUGAUCACAUUCUGGCUCGUUAGUCUUGCAGAGCCGUGACUAAUCACCUCAUUGAUAAACAUAUUGAACGAGAAACAGGAGUACCAAGCUCUGGUCUCUUGUAACAAGCCUAAAAGUUUCAAGGAAGAGAGGGUGUACUGACAUUUUGUUUUACGUUGGAGGCUUUCCGUUUGGAAGAUAAAUGCAGAAAUGCUGUUUUACAACUGCUAACGGGCAUGAAGCGACUGAGUUUAAGCGUAAGGGCUCUGAGGAUCUACCCACACCCGUCUGCUUCCAGCACCGUGGGAAACCGGGGCAGCCUGGGGCUUUUAUCGAACUUCCCAGAGUUGAAGCCACAAGCACUAACUUCCCCUUCCUUUUUCUUUUAGGUCAUCACCUGUCCUUUCUCUUCUUUCAUAAUAACCAAAACCCUCCUCCCAGGAGGAGGUAAGGAGGCACGAGUGUAUCCGUGUGUGUGCAGUGAGUGGGGGCACAGCCAGCACUUCCUUAAUGGGUGACUCACGGGGCCAAUGGGAAACCCAAGGCUCCGGACGGGGAAGAAAACAGGGCGGUGAGUGCAUCCAUCCUGUUCGGUCCUCAAGAAGGCAUAACAGCAGGAUCGUGUAGAUGCAAAGCCAACUAGGCACACGUGGACUACAGCCACUUACAGAAGCUUCUCGGUACAUCAGGAAGAGCUACAAACAGGAUUUCUCACAGGGAGUCCUAGCGGGCUAACAGCUCACGACACACACACCACAGCCGCCGAGAAUUGCGUCGUCCGCCCUCGGGAGGCUUGGGGCCACGAAGACAACAACUGAGGCUCCGCCUGACUCCUCUCUGCCCGUCUCCCCCGAGGCCGCUCCUUGAGCGCUGCCCCCCCACCCCCGCCCACCGAUGCUCCUUCCACAUCCUGGGGGGACCUUUAGCUUCCUCGUUCUCACCUUGGGCUGAUGACCUUUCAUUUCUGACCAGAACUUGCUAAAGAAUGAAAAAAGAUUACUGGUUGUUUUUUUCCUUUUUAGUUCCCUAUUAGACUCUAGUUCUGGUUCUUAGAACGAAAAGUCACCUGGGGACUUCCCUGGCGGUCCAGUUGUUAAGACUGCGCUUCCAAUGCAGGAGACACGGGUUCAAUCCCCGGUAGGGGAGCUAAGAUCCCGCAUGGCGUGGCCAAAAAGAAAAAAAAAAAAGACGGCUCUGUGGGUUCCCAUUCCUUCCUGGGCAUUUGCAUCGUCCAAAACUAAAA